CCUACGGGAGGCAGCAGUGAGGAAUAUUGGUCAAUGGGCGCUAGCCUGAACCAGCCAAGUAGCGUGAAGGAUGACUGCCCUAUGGGUUGUAAACUUCUUUUAUAUGGGAAUAAAGUGCAGUAUGUAUACUGCUUUCCAUGUUCCUUAUGAAUAAGGUUCGGCUUACUCCGUGCCAGCAGCCGCGGUAAUACGGAGGAUCCGAGCGUUAUUCGGAUUUAUUGGGUUUAAAGGGAGCGUAGGCGGGUUGAUAAGUCAGUUGUGAAAGUUUGCGGCUCAACCGUAAAAUUGCAGUUGAUACUGGUAUCCUUGAGUGCAGUAGAGGUAGGCGGAAUGCGUGGUGUAGCGGUGAAAUGCUUAGAUAUCACGAAGAACUCCGAUUGCGAAGGCAGCCUGCUGGACUGUAACUGACGCUGAUGCUCGAAAGUGUGGGUAUCAAACAGGAUUAGAUACCCUUGUAGUC
rnacentral:rRNA from 1 species